AUGGUGACCAGGUGGAGCCAGAAGAGCCCCGGCCUCAAGAUCCUGUGGAUCUGGACACUGGGCACCGCCGCGAUCAUGAUCACGAACGUCGUCCGGACGCGCGUCAACGAUAUGCAGAUGAUCCUCCGGGAGGAAGACGAAGCCGUCGGCUCUGGCGGCGGCGGCACGGGCGGCGGGCCCUCCGGCGAGCGCGUCAUGAGGGACGACGAGUUGAAUUGA
rnacentral:rRNA from 1 species